UCCGGAGGGUGCGAUCGUUAUCCGGAAUCACUGGGUUUAAAGGGUGCGUAGGCGGCGAGGUAAGUCAGUUGUGAAAUACCCCGGCUCAACCGGCGGGAGUGCGAUUGAUACUGCUUUGCUUGAAACAGGUUGAGGUAAGCGGAAUGUGGCAUGUAGCGGUGAAAUGCAUAGAUAUGCCAUAGAACACCGAUUGCGAAGGCAGCUUGCUGGGCCUGAUUUGACGCUGAGGCACGAAAGCGUGGGGAGAAAACAGG
rnacentral:rRNA from 1 species